rnacentral:rRNA from 1 species
ACGCUCGACACCUACGGGGGGCAGCAGUGGGGAAUAUUGCACAAUGGGGGAAACCCUGAUGCAGCGACGCCGCGUGAGCGAAGAAGUAUUUCGGUAUGUAAAGCUCUAUCAGCAGGGAAGAUAAUGACGGUACCUGACUAAGAAGCUCCGGCUAAAUACGUGCCAGCAGCCGCGGUAAUCUGAGCGGGCUGGCAAGGC